rfam:Rhodanobacter sp. 115 contig234, whole genome shotgun sequence.
CCUGAUGUUCAGCCAUCAGUAGCCUAGGAUCGGUGCGGGGCGGGUAACUGCCCGGUGCUGAGCGAUCUGACAAUGUAGUCACCCUCGCGGGUACGUCUGCCCCGUGAGGGGUUGGCGUGACCUCGGAAGAUGUAUCCGAGUAGACGC